rnacentral:lncRNA from 1 species
CCUACUGUAUAUACACUUUCUUGAGCCAUCUAAUAAUAAUAGCUGAGGUGGAUCUGAUAUUUUUAUUCAGUGAAUAGGGAUAAUUCUCAUUUACACCCAUCUACAUCACCUUGUCUAUCUCAGUAUCAUUACCACUGUUUCUGAGCCCUUUGCGAUCUUUAGUUUGUUUAUUCUUGUAGUACUUUGCUAAAUCUUAUGGGGAACUAUAAUCAUCUCCAUUUUGCAGGUGAGGAACUGAGACCCAGAGACAUUAAAUGACUUGUGCCAGAGCCCAGAGGAGUUAUGCAGCUGAGCAGAGAACUGAACUUCAGGUCAUCCAAGCCAAAGCCUAGUGUCCUGGCUAUUUGACAGUCCUUCCACUGUAGCAACUGAGUGUAAAUGUGUACUACUGUAGAUGGGCUGGACUGAGUUCCAUUCUUCCUGGCAGAAACACCAUGUUCCUGCCUCUAGCCAAGGAGAGCUGGAAGGUCUCUCCUGCAUCCCGUUAAACCUGACCUCAGCAUUCAUCAGAGCAAGGGCUUUCAAGACUGUUCUAAGCUGCUCCAGUCUACCAACUGUAAGUUUUGUUUUGUAGUUCAUGCAAAUCCUGACUACUUGUAAGUGUUGCAUGUAAUGGGGAUUGCCUGUUAGUAGCUCUGCUUGGUUUUAACUGGGA